rnacentral:rRNA from 1 species
GUAGGUGGCAAGCGUUGUCCGGAAUUAUUGGGCGUAAAGCGCGCGCAGGCGGUUCUUUAAGUCUGAUGUGAAAGCCCACGGCUCAACCGUGGAGGGUCAUUGGAAACUGGAGAACUUGAGUACAGAAGAGGAAAGCGGAAUUCCACGUGUAGCGGUGAAAUGCGUAGAGAUGUGGAGGAACACCAGUGGCGAAGGCGGCUUUCUGGUCUGUAACUGACGCUGAGGCGCGAAAGCGUGGGGAGCAAACAGGGAUUAGAUACCCUGGUAGUCCACGCCGUAAACGGUGAGUGCUAAGUGUUAGGGGGUUUCCCGCCCCCUUAGUGCUGCAGCUAACGCAUUAAGCACUCCGCCUGGGGAUACGGCCGCAAGGCUG